rnacentral:rRNA from 1 species
UGCCAGACUCCUACGGGAGGCAGCAGUGAGGAAUAUUGGUCAAUGGGCUUACGCCUGAACCAGCCAAGUCGCGUGAGGGAAUAAGGCCCUACGGGUCGUAAACCUCUUUUGCCGGGGAGCAAGGGCGGGGACGUGUCCCGGCCCGGAGAGUACCCGGAGAAAAAGCAUCGGCUAACUCCGUGCCAGCAGCCGCGGUAAUACGGAGGAUGCGAGCGUUAUCCGGAUUUAUUGGGUUUAAAGGGUGCGUAGGCGGGCUGUUAAGUCAGCGGUCAAAUGUCGGGGCUCAACCCCGGCCUGCCGUUGAAACUGGCGGCCUCGAGUGGGCGAGAAGUAUGCGGAAUGCGUGGUGUAGCGGUGAAAUGCAUAGAUAUCACGCAGAACUCCGAUUGCGAAGGCAGCAUACCGGCGCCCGACUGACGCUGAGGCACGAAAGCGUGGGUAUCGAACAGGAUUAGAUACCCCCGUA